UGGGGAAUCUUGCGCAAUGCACGACAGUGUGACGCAGCAACGCCGCGUGGGGGAAGAAGGCCUUCGGGUUGUAAACCCCUUUCAGGAGGGACGAAGGGCGGGCCGUUAACAGCGGUUCCGUCUGACGGUACCUCCACAAGAAGCCCCGGCUAACUACGUGCCAGCAGCCGCGGUAAUACGUAGGGGGCAAGCGUUGUCCGGAAUCAUUGGGCGUAAAGAGCGUGUAGGCGGUCCGGUAAGUCCGCUGUGAAAGUCAAGGGCUCAACCCUUGAAUGCCGGCGGAAACUGCCGGACUAGAGUCCGGAAGAGGCGAGUGGAAUUCCUGGUGUAGCGGUGAAAUGCGCAGAUAUCAGGAGGAACACCGACGGCGAAGGCAGCUCGCUGGGACGGUACUGACGCUGAGACGCGAAAGCGUGGGGAGCAAACAGG
rnacentral:rRNA from 1 species